CCGGAGAAGGGAAAGAAUAGCCUUCUAUUCUUACCUCCAUUUACCAGCACUUUCCACAUUGAGUUAAUUUGUAUAAUCCCCUGUCUCCUCCCCAGGUCUAUGAGUUGUUUGUGGAGACAGACUUUAUUCAUCUCUGUCACAGUUCAAUAAAUAUUUGCUGAAUUUCUGAAUAAAUAAAUAUAUUCAUUUAAAAAAGGGCAAUGCUUUAACCUAGGAGAGAAAAAGGAUCCCUGGUUUAUGAAUCAAAAGGCUGAGGCUGCAGGCAGGUUUUGGAAGAAACCAGGAGUAGGAGCUGGAUCUCUGCUCAGCACAUGCACUGUGUUCUUCCUCACCUCCUCGCCUCUGAGCAGGAACCCAUUUAGCCACAUGGCUGCCCAUCCCUCUGGAGGAAGAUUUCUCCUAGGGGCAGGGGAAGGUGUAUCGUGAUGGUGGGAAACUCCUUUAUUCAGCAACACCAAGAUGAAGCUGGCAUGAGAAAUCAGACUCAGAACUCAAGCUGGCAAAACAUCUGAUGGGGUGAGAAAUAAGGCUUUUGUGUCUUGUCCUCCAGGUUAUAGGUAUUUUUAUUGGAAGGUGCCUUCUUUCCCGGGCAAGAUUACAAGUAAAGUCCAGAUGAGGGAUAGAAAGGCUCCACUGUCAUCACAGCAAGUCAAGAAACCUGCCCCAACAAGAGACACAACUUAAAGGUUGGGCUCAAAUUUAUAGAUGUUCUUUUUCUGGCUUCAAAGACAGUACAGCACAGAACAGAACUUGUAAAUUAGGAGGAUAAGAAAAUAAGACAGAACAGUCUCCGUCAUUUUCAUAAGUAACUCAGUAACCUAUGGAUCUUAUCCUAGAUUUAUUUUUUCUUUUAAAGGAUAAAGGACAAGUGGUCAGGGGCAGGCCCAUAAAUUUGCUCUGACUUUUAUUAGAUGGGGAAUAUUUUCGUCGGCGAGGUCAGCAUAACUUGGAAGAAAAGACAGAAAACUCUCCACAAGUGAACCACCUCGUUACCCCUGACAUAACACAGGCCUGCUGCCUACUGACAAGGGAGUCGCCUGCUAUCAUGCACAGUUAGAACUCCUUAAAAGUCAUCAAAAUAGGUUAAUUUUUCCCAUUCAACAUUAUCUUUUCAUGGAUUUCACAUCUCAUACACAGAUUCUAGGGGGAAAGGAACAUGACUGGGACUAUUAAGUAAUGGAGCUGAAUCCUUUCAAGAUGAAAGAAAACUGGGCUCGCCAUCUCCACCAUCUCGUAGACAGGAAACACAGCAUAGACACAAGCUAAGGAAAAGGUCAAAGACAUAGGAGGAAGGCCAAUAAACCUCCGUGAGCGCUUUGUUUUGUGAAACCACCUGGUCUAACACUCAAGUUCUGUACAAAUGUCUUAUUCAUUUGUUCAUUUUUUAAAAGUAUUAAUUAUGUGUCUAUUAUAGUGGAAUGCACUAGGAAUACUCUAAUGAACAAGGCUUUGUCCCUGUUCUCCAGGAGUUUACAGUCCAGCAGGAGUGAGACUGUCUAAGAAAGAGGUCCCCAUACAGUAUAAGUACAGGAGCCAAACAGUGUAGCAGCUACUACAUGGCAGCCUUCAGCUG
rnacentral:lncRNA from 1 species